rnacentral:rRNA from 1 species
AUUGAACGCUGGCGGCAGGCCUAACACAUGCAAGUCGAGCGGGGUUUUCGGACCUAGCGGCGGACGGGUGAGUAAUGCGUAGGAAGCUGCCCGAUAGAGGGGGAUACCAGUUGGAAACGACUGUUAAUACCGCAUAAUGUCUACGGACCAAAGUGUGGGACCUUCGGGCCACAUGCUAUCGGAUGCGCCUACGUGGGAUUAGCUAGUUGGUGAGGUAAUGGCUCACCAAGGCGACGAUCUCUAGCUGGUUUGAGAGGAUGAUCAGCCACACUGGAACUGAGACACGGUCCAGACUCCUACGGGAGGCAGCAGUGGGAAUAUUGGACAAUGGGCGCAAGCCUGAUCCAGCCAUGCCGCGUGUGUGAAGAAGGCCUUCGGGUUGUAAAGCACUUUCAGCGAGGAGGAAGGGGUGUGUGUUAAUAGUACACACCUUUGACGUUACUCGCAGAAGAAGCACCGGCUAACUCUGUGCCAGCAGCCGCCGUAACAC